UGAACGCUACAUCCAAGCCCGACCAGAGUACCCCGCCUUGGUCCUACAGGCAUGGAGGUUCUUGUUGGCUAAAGACCAUGACAGCAAGGUCCGAGAGAGCCUCCAGUCUGAGGGCACUGAAGAUCCAGACCACCUUCUUCCCAAUGGUUCUGUGAGGAACAUUCUAGCACUCCCCUACCUUGGCCCUCUGCCUCCCUGUCCUCACAUCCCACCCCAAGACAAGAGCCGAGUGUUCGCCAUUGUCCUAUACGCAGAAUUCCUGAAGGAGCUGGCCGCUAUUGCCCUGGAGCAUAGCAUCACAUCGGACUGGACCACAGAGGAGUAGAGGAGGCAGGCCUCAUCCCAAAAACGACACUUUAAAGAGUGAUUUUAUGUAUUCAUUUGACCUGAAAUCCCUUGAAUUUUUGUACUGUGCAGAACAAUGUGAAAAUGAUUCUAUUAAUGUUGACUAUAAGUGCUGACCGUUCUUUUCAUUGUGUUUUUGUGAAUUGAAUGUUUUCCCAUGGAUCAUCCAAUUAAAACAGCGAUGUUGAAAAUUGAAAAGAGA